AGCUCCAAUAGCGUAUAUUAAAGUUGCUGCAGUUAAAAAGCUCGUAGUUGGAUUUGUGGCGCGGCCGUCCGGCGGGGCUCCUUCAUUGGGGCCGUUUGUCUGGUUUUUCGGCCGCCCCAUUCUCGGGUAGUGUGUCGCUGGCAUUAGGUUGUCGGCUUCUUCACGCCCGUCGUUUACUGUGAAAAAAUUAGAGUGUUCAAAGCAGGCUUAGGCCGUUGGAUACAUUAGCAUGGAAUAAUGAGAUAGGGCCACGACGGUCUAUUUUGUUGGUUUGCACGUUGUGGUAAUGAUUAACAGGAACGGUUGGGGGUAUUCGUAUUCAAUUGUCAGAGGUGAAAUUCUUGGAUUUAUGGAAGACGAACUACUGCGAAAGCAUUUACCAUGGAUGUUUUCAUUAAUC
rnacentral:rRNA from 1 species